rnacentral:lncRNA from 1 species
AUUCUGUGGACUACCUAAAAAAGCACCCAGAAUUUGUUAUCUCGAUUAUGGAGGGCGACAAGUCCCACAGUCUGCCAUCUGCAGGAUGGAGAACCAGUCUUUAUAGGGGGAGAAUAAUUGACUCCAUUCAAGUGUUCGCUCCUGUUUCAAUCAACUAUGGCUGAAGAGUGAGGAGACAUUUGGAAUAAAUAUGGCUUCUGGGGGCCCAUUCCUAUGGAUCAGCAGCUGGCUUCUGGAGGCCCAUUCCUGUGAAUCGUCGAUCUCAUAGAAGAUAAUAUUGUUAGAAGGCUUACCUCAUUGAUGCUGAACAUCCUAAAAAGCUUCUGCUGCUUUGAGUCACUGAAAAAGACCAAGAAACAUGAAUUUAAAAAAAAAUUUCAAAUGUUAUAAAAUAAAUAAUAUGAACUCAUUAUACCUACAAUGAAUAAUUUAAAUUCUUCUUUGGUAGUCCAGCAUAGGUUUAGAAACUAUGAAAACCCUAGAAGAAAACCUAGGCAAUGCCAUUCAGGACAUAGGCACGGACAAAGAUUUCAUGACGAAGACGCCAAAAACAACUGCAACAAAAGCAAAAAUUGACAGAUGGGAUCUCAUUAAACUAAAGAGCUUCCAUACAGCAAAAGAAGCUACCAUGAGAGUGAACAGACAACCUAUAGAAAGGGAGAAAAAUUUUGCAAUCUGUUCAUCUGACAAAGGUCUAAUAUCCAGCAUCUACAAGGAACUUAAAUAAAUUUACAAGAAAAAAACAAACCCAUUAGAAAAUGGGCAAAGGACAUGAAAAGAUACUUCUCAAAAGACAUACAUGUGGCCAACAAUCAUACAAAAAAAACCUCAACAUCACUGAUGAUUAGAAAAAUGCUAAUCAAAACCACAACGAGAUACCAUCUCAUACCUGUCAGA